rnacentral:rRNA from 1 species
ACGCGUUGGGAGCUCUCCCAUAUGGUCGACCUGCAGGCGGCCGCGAAUUCACUAGUGAUUCGUAUUACCGCGGCUGCUGGCACGGAGUUAGCCGGGGCUUUCUUGGUCAGGUACCGUCAUUAUCUUCCCUGCUGAAAAGGGCUUUACAACCCUAAGGCCUUCAUCACCCACUCGGUAUUGCUGGAUCAGGCUUUCGCCCAUUGUCCAAUAUUCCCCACUGCUGCCUCCCGUAGGAGUCUGGGCCGUGUCUCAGUCCCAGUGUGGCUGAUCAUUCUCUCAAACCAGCUACAGAUCAUUGGCUUGGUAGGCCAUUACCCUACCAACUACCUAAUCUGGCGCGGGCUCAUCCAUCAGCGAUAAAUCUUUCCUCCAAAGAGAAUAUACGGUAUUAGCAAUUAUUUCUAAAUGUUAUUCCGUACUGAUGGGCAGAUUCCCACGUGUUACUCACCCGUCUGCCACUAAUUUAUUUAAAGCAAGCUCUAAAUAAAUCCGUUCGACUUGCAUGUGUUAAGCAUACCGAAAGCGUUCGUUCUGAGCCAUGAUCAAACUCUAAUCGAAUUCCCGCGGCCG